GAGUUUGAUCAUGGCUCAGGACGAACGCUGGCGGCGUGCCUAACACAUGCAAGUCUGACUGGAAAGUCUCCUUCGGGAGACGACUACAGUGGCGGACGGGUGAGUAACGCGUGGGAAUCUACCCGGUAGUGGGGGAUAACCCUUCGAAAGGAGGGCUAAUACCGCAUAAGUCUUACGAGGUAAAGAUGGCCUCUUUACAAUGCUAUCGCUUCCGGAUGAGCCCGCGUCCUAUUAGCUUGUUGGUGAGGUAACGGCUUACCAAGGCGACAAUGGGUAGCCGGUCUGAGAGGAUGAACGGCCACACUGGGACUGAGACACGGCCCAGACUCCUACGGGAGGCAGCAGUGGGGAAUUUUGCGCAAUGGGGGAAACCCUGACGCAGCAACGCCGCGUGAACGAUGAAGGCCUUCGGGUCGUAAAGUUCUGUUCUGGGGGAAGAAACAGCAAAAAGACAAUACCUUUUUGCCUUGACGGUACCCCAGCAGAAAGCUCCGGCCAAUUAUGUGCCAGCAGCCGCGGUUA
rnacentral:rRNA from 1 species